GUAGGGAAUAUUGGGCAAUGGACGAGAGUCUGACCCAGCCAUGCCGCGUGCAGGAAGAAGGCGUUCUGCGUUGUAAACUGCUUUUAUCUGGGAAGAAAAGGCCCAUGCGUGGGACAUUGCCGGUACCAGAUGAAUAAGCACCGGCUAACUCCGUGCCAGCAGCCGCGGUAAUACGGAGGGUGCAAGCGUUGUCCGGAUUUAUUGGGUUUAAAGGGUGCGUAGGCGGUUGAUUAAGUCAGCGGUGAAAGUUUUGGGCUCAACCCAGAAAUUGCCAUUGAUACUGGUCGACUUGAGUAUUGCAGGGGUACAUGGAAUUGAUGGUGUAGCGGUGAAAUGCAUAGAUACCAUCAGGAACACCGAUAGCGAAGGCAUUGUACUGGGCAACCACUGACGCUGAUGCACGAAAGCAUGGGGAGCGAACAGGAUUAGAUACCCGAGUAGUCC
rnacentral:rRNA from 1 species